UGAAAAUAUUGAGGAGUUGAAUGUAAAUGAAUUGACGGAAUUGGAGCAUAGGAUUGAAGCAGGAAUACAACGUAUUAAAUCAGAAAAGGAUCUUCGUUUGAAUGAACAAAAGAAGACAAUAAAAAAGGAAUAAGGAAAAUCUGAAGGGUAGUUAAUCAAAGACAAUGUACAUAGUCUAUUUAAUUGUAUAAAUAUUUUCUUGUGUAAUAGACAUGGUGAUGUUGAAACUCAUGAACUCAAUAUCCAAAUUAGUCACCAUUCUCAA